GUAGUACUCCCUCCGUUUCAAAAUUCUUGUCUUAGAUUUGUCUAAAUACGGAUGUAUGUAUACAUCCGUAUUUAGACAAAUCUAAGACAAGAAUUUUGGGACGGAGGAAGUACAGU
rfam:Triticum urartu cultivar G1812 contig278669, whole genome shotgun sequence.